AAAUCUUUUGCUCCUAGUAUUGAAGACAUGGUUAAAGCCUAAGAUUGAUAAAAGGUAAAAGCUCACACACAUCUAUAUGCAGUGUGACUACCAUUUCAUGCACCAACUUCAUUGCAUAAUUUCAUUAAUCUUUGUUCUCACUAAUUACAACAUUUACUCUUACAUCUACAGGUGACCUCCAAAGACAGCAUGGUGAGCUCCAAGAGCAACAUGCUGUAGUAAACAAGUUUGUGAGAGCUGAACUUCUGAAGGCAC